AGCAAAAAUGACUCUUCUCAGACUGUACAUUUUAACUGAUGAAGUCAGUGACAAAAGUUGGAGUGAUAUUAGUGUCACUGUCAGCCAACAAGCUUCUCCUUGCUGAGACUCCUCUUCCAAUCUGCUUCUGCAGUUUGCUGUCAAAGAGGAAAGAAUCUGAAAGGACUUCAGCAGAUGGGAAGCUGAACACACUUUGGGAGGAAAAAGCAAAUAUAUUGAGGAGACAGAAGAUGUUAUGCAUCUGAGAUGGCAAAGAACAUUCAUCUCUUUUAUGAAGCAUUGUGUAUGAAAGCAUCAGGGAGACUACAUACUUCUCUGUGAGAGUGCAGGGAAGAGGAUGCUUGCUUUGUUCGCUCAUCUUUGAUACGUGCCAUCACCUAAGAAAUGCCUCUCCAGAACACAAGGCACCAAUUCAUGGCCUGGUUCAUCUCUGGUUCAUGCCUCCUGAAACAGUAUGGAGAUACCCUCUGCUUGGCACAUUUCUAAUUCAUGGGGAUCGAGGACAAACUCAGCUCUGUAAUCAUCACUAAGAUUUUUAGGAAGGUGGGGAAAGUGGGAUAAUACCAAGAUGCAUUACGUGCAAAACCACAUAGAGAACAAGAGACAUAAAGGAAGACAGCAAAUUCUUCUUGCGUGGAUGAAAUCAUGAGUUUCUCCCUGGGAUCUUCCACAUCUCCUUUGAUCAGUCUUCCCAGACCUAACCCUGAAAUGUGCCAACAGGUCUGGUCCAAGUUAGUAAGAAGAAUUUCACUGCUGUUGGAGUGAGAAGUUGGUACUGUUGAAGUAAAUUUCACCAUUCUUUCCAACUAACCUUCAUUGCUGAUUGUCCAACAGAGGAAUGCCUCAGGCCUCCAAGUUGUUUCUGAAAAGAGGUAUUAGAUCUGCCCCUCUGGAAUGGCAUCAUUGAGACCAAGCAGAGAGAGAAGGUCUGUUUCUCCUGUAUUACUACGACUGAUACAAGCACAUUACAGGAUUUCCCUUUUUUAUUCCAGCCAGAACACCAGUUCUUUAGGAACAAACAGGUAAUCCUAUUGAUAGAAGCUGUUGGUCUGGAGAGGGCAAUUUAUUUCUUAUUCUCUUUGGUAUUUUAAUAAGGGCAAUCAACCCUAAUUCCAAAUUCUCUUGUGAGAUUUUGCCUUCUGGGUAAGAAACAUCCUUUGCCUCCCCCUCCCCCCUUUUCCCAAACAAUCUUCUGCUGUGCUAGGAAGAUGGAAUGUAUAGGUGAUAUCCCUUUUAGAAAAUGCAUCCAUAAUAUAUCACAUGUAUUGUCAUUAUGAUGUAUUAAUGUAAUGCAUCAUCAGAGAGCUGUCAGAGUGAAGAUUUAUUACUCUAAAAUAAGUUAUGGUAAGACACUGGGGAAUGAGUUGACAGAAUUUUUUGUUUAUUUUUCUAAAUUAAGAACUUUCAGAGUAAGUUUGAAGAUCUCUUACCUUCAUGAAGUAAGUAGGGGUGGGAGGGUCACAGAAAGGAGGACUUGAAUCAAAAACACCAGAAGGACUCUGGAGGCCUCAUAAGAAUAAGAAUUUAAUAUUUUCUUUACCCAGAUAGUUUCCAAAAAGUAUAGUGUGCAAAGUUUAAGUGUACUGCUUAGAUGAGAGCUACAUUAAGCAGUCAAAUUCAUUUUAAUCAACCCAAAGUGGACUUUAUUGAUUUUUCCCUUUAAGGGAAACAGAGUCACCAAAGUAUAAAUCCUUGGGCUAAAAAAGGUCCGUUGGACUAAAACUGUUCCAAAAAUACUACAUAAGUCUAUGCACUUUGGCCAGGUGUGUCCAGUGGACUUAGAAAUGUGCUUUAAAUCCAGUGAAGUCAGUGAGAGUUUUUCAUUAGAUUUGCACAGGCUUUGGAUCAGGCUCCUUUGCUGCAUCAUGUGGUGAAGCCAUGAAACUUGGCACAUUUAUAGCAUUGUAACAUAAAGCCAUCUGUGUACAAGCACAAACUUUUCCUUAUUGCCAAAGUGCUUAAUGUAAUUACAAUCAGGCUUGCUUCUUCUCCGCUCGCUUCAUCCAUAUGCUGAGAUGUAUGCAAACUUGAACUGGUAAAGAAUCCCACAGCAUCUGAGUGUGCGUGCUGCUUACAGCAGUAUACAUUGCUAACCUUGUAAAUCUUAUGCCCUUCUCCAUUUCAAGGAACACACACACAGUUACAGACUGUCUUAUGAGGAAACGGUCUGGCAGCAGAAGUAUGCCGAACAGUUCAGUCUGGGUUCCUUUUUUGCUAACUACACGAGACACCUGAGUUAGGAGCCCAGUUGCCCUUACUCCUGAUGGGUAGUUAGAAAUGUCCCAGGGGGUGGAUGUCCACAAUAGGAAUUGCCUUCAGGAGGUAUCUUUCACACAUUGCUGGCUAGAGAGUGAGCGUAGUGCUGUUGUAUACCUUGUUCUCCAUCUAAAGGAGAUUAUAUUAAAUCCUCAGGGUGUCCCAGUCCAUAAGCAGCUGCAAAAUAGUUGUUUUAUCACACAGUUCACUCUGUGUUGACUUCAAAUAAUUCUAGUUGCAGUAACAUCCCGUGGCUUUUACUGCAUUGUUUACAUUUCAUGUAUCAUGAUAUUUGCAUGCGAUUUCUUCAAUUCUAAAUACAGUCUUGGUCAGUGGAAGCUAAAUACCAAAGUUGCUCACAGGUUAAUGAGUGCACUGUGCUUGCUGCUGACUGACCCUGUGGCCCAUAGGCAUGUAGUUAACAUUAUCAGUGGGGAUGGUGUAUUUGAAAUGGAUGUUAAGAAUAAAAAGAAACACAUGCAGUGGAUGCAUUUGAAGCAGGGAAUAAGACUGCAGAAGAAAACUUGUAGAAAGCAGAAGGUAGUCAUGCCAAAAAAGAUCUACGUUUUCUCUUACUGAAAAACAGCAAUGAUAAGCUGUUUAAUUUUGGCCAAUCUUAGAAAGACACUUCCAUUAAUUACCUAAAAGGCGGGUAUGAAAUGAGUGCCAAGGUUAUUUAAAUUGCCUCUACCUAAAGUGUGUUGUAAACUGUACUGCUAUCAGUCUAGGAAAAACCUCUCCUCCUCCAUAAAGUUCAGAACAGUUUAAUAAUGUAUGAUCACACAGAUACAUUGGCUCAAGCCAUGUUUUUUUUUUUUUAAGAUAUUAUCUGAAAUGGGUAUAUGAAGUUGCUUAUUAAGCACCUGAAUUUUGCAGAUGACAAAUGACACACAAAACUUUACUGGUUAUCCCGAAGGCUGAGUAGAUACAUGAUCAUGGUUUAAAAUGUACUACUGUCUGUAGGUAUUAUAUAGCCAUCUCAAAUAGAGCAGAGAUUUGCUUUUCUGAACCAGAAUGUAUGAAGGGCAUGAUUUCUUUUUGGUAAAAGUAGUCAAAAACGUUAUUAGUAUGUAUUUGUUGUGGUCAACUGACAUGUUUAGUAGAUGAUGGACCUGGUGUUCUGAAGCAUCAGGUGGGUGGGCUUGUUGGAUCAGCACAUGAAGCAUGGGAGCUUAGGGGAGAUUUGGGUUAGGAUCUAUAGUCUGAUGACAAUAGUUUAUUUCCUAAUGGCAUGGUGCUAAAAGAAAGGACUUCUGAUCUAUUCUGCAAGUGUUAACAGGCAAACAAGCCUUGGAGUUGAAUGUUUCUGUGGGAGGUUGUCACAGGUACUACAAAUUGGAAGGUUGAGUGCUUGAGUUAUAUAGUUAUGAGAGCUUUGCCCAAGCUCCUGUCCACUCUCUAUUUCUCAGUAGGGUUUUGCUUAAAUUUAGUAUCUGUGGUGGUUCAGACAGUCUUAGGUCAGUGAGUCUGAAAGGAGAUAAAAUGUCUUGGAAAGACCAUAUGAAAUCUAUCAUGACAAACCACUGAUAACUCCACAUCUUAUUAGCUUCAAUUAAGUAUUUCCAUGGGAAACCAUGGAACUGUUUAAAGUCAUGAUGACACAUACACACACUUUGUUCCAUCCAAAGAAAUAAUCUGUUUUCCAGAUUUCCAAAUAACCCAGUUAUUUUUUUUAUUGUUUUUCUUUUUUUCUUUCUUUUCCUCCUUUUAAAAGAAAUAAAUUAUAAGAAUUUAUCUUGGGCUUGCUACAGAUUUAAAAGGAGAAAAAAGGUUUCUUCUGUCCGACUUUUAAAUUAUAUGCAUGACUGGAGAUAAAUAUGUUUUUUAUUUAUAACUGUGGAGAGGUGCCAAACAAAGCCUUUCAUAUGACGCACUGCUGCUGCAACGGAGAAGUACUUAAAACAGUUCCAGUCAAGUUAGGCCCCAAGACUUUUCAUGCAACUUCAUUCAAAAUGGCUAAGAACUUUCAUUUAUUUUUCUUCCUUUCCUUUUGAACAUCUUCAAAGGUUGCAAGUGCAACACGCUUAGAGGAUGCCAGGCUUCUUCCUGCUGAGCUGAGACAGGCUGAAAACCACAUUGAAACAUGGGAAAUUGCAGCUACCACAGAUGGCAGAUGAGGAUUGUUUGCAGGCUCCCCUGGCCCUCCCCUCGAGGCUGGUUACAGUUGGAUGAGGGUUAUGGACAGGGGCUGGCAAAGCAAAGAGUCACUGUGCUGCUGGGAGACUGGGAUGAAUGGACUUUGACAAUACUGCUGAAUAGGAGUGCUUGUGGAACCGAUACAAACAAUCUGUAAUUGUCAGAGCUGAAAAGUAAAAACAUGAUUAUAAACUGCGCACAGGAUCAGCUUAUGUCAGCUUUAAAUGAUUUAAAAGUCUAGUGUCUGGAGCUGCAUCUCACUUGCCUGUAAAACUCCUUAAAGAAGACUUACAUAACCAUACAAGCAUGUCUCUCCCUUCUUGUGUGUUUAUUGUGAAAACUAACCCUUUGUCUAGCACUCAGAAAGCAGUUUUUAAGACAGAUAAAUCAGGAAACGGGUUUUCUUGAUUUAAAUGGAAGAGAUGCUUGCCUUGUCAGAGCAACUCUUUUAGAAAGCCCUGGUUAUCCCUGCUCUGUGCAGGAAGGGCUCUCAGCAGCCAGGUGCUGAUGCAGCCCCGGUCACCUGGUAGCUUCAGAACCUGGAUGGAUGUGACACAACUUCCUAAAAGCAGCAAGCUUCCCUGAGAAGAGAAGGAGCACAAGAAAGCCUCUUCUGUUACCUAGAGCCGACCGUCAUUACGCCUGACCCUAGCUCAUUACCCCUACAUGUCUGCAGCAGAUGGUGACCUUUGGUGGCACUGCACAACAGCAAGCAAGGAGAUGCCUUCCUUGUGAUUGUGGCUCCUGAAUGCCAAGCGCUGCAUCUUCUUCCCCACUCUGUGUCCAGCCUUCCUCUACACCAACACACCCACGGAAAUUAAAGUACUUCUGCGUACUACUAAGCAACACUAUUUAGGUAGUGGGCUACAUUUCCAAUUUUGCCACAAACGCCUUUAUCUUCCCAUCACCCAGCAGCGUGGAGUAGAAUGGAAGCAACUAAUUUACCAUGUAAUAAGAUAGGGUCCUGUUGACACAAGUCAAGGGCAAAACUAUUAAGUCAUUAGGGCUAAUGUUGUUACAUUCUGAUACAAAGGCACGCCCGGCCCUUUCAGAUGUACAUCUGACCUUUGAGGAUUAAGUUUCUUCACAGCUUAUUGUUAGUAGUGAAAAUGUCUUCCCCCCCCCUUCUGCUUCACACACAUUGAUCUUUGGCCCUGUGCUACAUACAGCUUGCAGAUCUGCUUCUGCAGUCCUGAUUUGCCCCAGUUUCAUCAGAAGUAAUAAUAGCAAAGGCGUCACGUCCUUAAUCCAGCAAUGCUGAGAAUACAUCACAUUGCUUUUCUUGACCCUUGGUCCAAGAGGUUGCAGGCAGAAUGGAGGAGAUAGAGGUGGCUCUCAGGAUUCUUGCAUAAAGUAAGAAAAGUGAGGACUGCUCAAAUCAAUCAGUCUAGAUGUCAUUUAAAGCUGUGUAAUAUGAACAUGUCUUGCUAUAGCCCUGUGUUAUUUUGGUAAAACAACUUUUUCUAAUCUAAUAGCUAAUUAGCCAGUUGACAGUUUCAACCAUUGUAUCCUCAACUUGUUCCACUGCCAUUGCACAGGCAAGGGAAAUGCAAGUGGACUCCAGAACUUGCCUUAUUGUCCUGGUUAAUAUCUCUCAGGAUUCAUUUUAUUCACGUCAACUUUGUAGACUUGUUUAGCUCUGAAAGUUUUGGCUGAAUGCUCUAUCUUUUGUGAGUCACUCUUUGAAAUAAAGAGAGAUGUUCUCACUUGGACUGCGGUUAGAUUGUAUCUCUGCUGCUCUGAAAGCUAAGUGUUCUCCAGGUGAAGUCAUGGAACAGGUUAUCUUGAUGUCCUUUGUAUGUGAUGAACCUUUUUUCACUUCCAAGACGAAUGAAGAAACCCUACCAAUGGACACCCCAAGCUGUUGUACAGAUAAUUUGUCUGAAACUUCUGACCAAAAUAUCACAUAUUCACAUGCUGUCAUUAUUUCACGAGGAAGGCUCAUUUUAUAUGAUGCUUUUGUCUGAGACUGUGUUAGAUUUCAUUUGCAAGUUGUUUAUUAUAAAGUUCAUCUUGGAAAAGCUGUGUGAUAGCUUUAUGGCUGGUUUUUAACAUGUGUAAGUAUUGUUUGCUCUGUGUUGUAAUACCACGAAGGCCAGUUUUCAAAAGUGCUCCAAAUACUUUGGAGUUUAUGCCCCUUUCACCUUAAAAAUGUGAGUGCAAUUAAAACUUCCAUGUCUGGCCUAUUAAAAAUAUGUCAUUCAGCUUCUCUGUUGUUGAGAAAGGGGAUGGGAGUGCAUGAGUAUUCUCUAAUGCAGCCACUUCUAAAAAUAUAUCUGAACCUAUCUAGGCAUAUCUUGCUUAUUUGUGCACCUUGUCCUUUUGAACUACUGGAAGGAGUUCACUCUCUGAAGGAAGAAUUGGCUGUUCUUAAAAGUACAGCUGGGAAGCAAGACAUCCAGUGAGCUUAUGGCAAGCUGUGGAAUGCUAUGUUUCAUGAAUUUCUCUUUUAAUUUAUUUUGUUGUUGUUCCAUGAUUUUAAGUACGAUGGUGAUGGGAAAGUGCUACAUUUCACAAAUUUCUGCUUUACUGUUUUGCAUUUUGAGGCUUUAAAUACAGUGUUGACCAGGGAAGGGAAGUUGCACCGAGAAAGAUUUUGCUCUUCAAACUGUACGUGCCAAGGUAGGUCUGGAACGGAUGCUCAUGGCUGAAUUAAUAAACUCUGACUGCAGAGGUUUAGAACAAGAAUUCUGACAGACCCUUCACAUGACAAUACUAGUGGGAGUCACGGUAAUAUCAUCUGCUGCUGAACAUUGCGAGCAUGUGAGUACCGUUGUGCCAAAGGUUAAUAUGCCAGUUUUAUUUCCUUCUCUCUACAGCUGUAAUUUAAACGAGUUGCACACAUAAGUGAUGUUAUAUGCAUAGGGGUUUGCAUUAAGUUUGCUAUGUCAGAUUUGUUUAUAAAAAUCAUAUUUUGAAACACUUGCCCAGGGGCUCCGUUCUGGGGAGCUGCAAGCUGAUUCCUUUUAAAGAGGCAGCUUUCAUUUUCCAUGAAUUUUCAAUAGAGAUUUUGGAGCUCUGAGCAGGGAGCUCUGUUUUAAAAUUAGCACUUGCCCAGGUUUACAAUUGGGUUUAAUUACGAAGCAAGAGGGAGCUUAAUCUUGUUUUACGUGUGUGCCGCGUGACCCUUCCCAUACCUUACAGGGAUUGGAAGGGCCCCCUGCCUCUCUUGGGGAAAAUUGCUUCCCAACAUUUUGGAGACCAUUUACAAUGUUUUUGUUCCUAUGCAGCAAUGUUAACAUUGCCCAUAAACCUAAUAGUCACACAGUAGUUAAUAAGCGGCAGAAAGUUUUAUAGUCUUUUCCGCAGUUGUUAAAAGCCUGCUACUGUAAUUUGGUCCUGACCAUGCAAAGCACAUUGGUUGUUGUGAAAAAUAAGAGGCCCUAUUUUGGUGUAUUCCUGGAAACCAAUGGAAAGGAGAACCUCUCCUUAGCAUCGUGCUGAAUGUAAUGAAUUUGAGGAUUAUUGGAAUUGCUUGGUUUGUAAUAUAAACACUCGAGGGCUUGCCAGCAGUGUACCUUCAGGAUGUAUGGCUAUUCUAGAAAAAGAAAAUCAUUUUUUAUUUCUGUUAAGAACCCAUUGUAAUUAGUGGCACUAUCUGGCAAUGGAUGGUUUAUCAAAUUGCCUUUCAGUUACAGGAAAUAGGAUCCAUUAAUGAUCUUGCAAGCAUAUUUUUAGUCAGACUCAGCAAGAAUCAUUUUCUAGCUGUCCUUCUAUGUUAUGUAAACUAAGAGCAUUUCCAAGGUCUCAGCUGCACUGCCCUGUGUGCCAUUCAGAACAGUUUUUACCUUCUCCAGCUAGAAGUGACCACACUAGUGGAAAUAAGGUACUUCUCAAGGUAAGAUUUCUAGAAUCAAACUUGUACUGAAGGCAUCUCAAAUGCAGUUAUGUUUGGACUCUGGGUAUACAGUUCCUCAACACAUCAGCAGGAUGUAGGAGAGCUUGGAGGUGGGACAAAGUGGUGGCUGAAGGAUUGGCAGGCAAGACCCAAUUUGAAGAGGAACUGUUCUUUACAAAUUUCUCCAAGGGAAGUUUCCACAACUCAGCCUCUGCUAAUAGCAGAUCAGUUUCUAAUUAAGGAUAUUUAUCUCAGAAGGUACCUGUUCUAGUUGUACAAUCUCUAUACAAGUUGUAACUUGUAUAGAGAUUAUUACACAGCAGUGAAGAGUGGUAGGGGAAAGGAGUAAGGAAAAGAUCAUUUGCUUCUAAAUCAGAAUAUUAUGAACAUCACAAGCUCUCAAAUGCAACUAUAUUACAUGCUAUCUGAAAGGGCAGGGUUCUAAUUAUUUGGCUGGUAUAAGUCUGCUGCAGUGCUUAAGAUGCCGUGGUUUCCUUUGGAUGCAAUCUUACACCUGUGUUGCCUGGGAUUACAGUGAUAUGUUUUGAGCCAUCUGUAACGUUUCUAAAAUGCCUUUUUGCCUCAGAUUAACAGUGAGUACUUUGAGUACAUGAAGUACAGUACAAUGAGUACAUAAACCUUUACAUUGUUCUCCCUUGCCCUAUCUGAGGAGGGGGCUGUGGGCUGCAGUGAAUGAGCUUGGUUGGGUUUUGCACCCUCUGAAGAUUGAGUUAUUGGCUCAGUGCUGAAUUUAAUGGGAGUUUUGAAUGCACUGAAUGGAUAACUUAGCCAUGACAGAAGUAAAGGGUGUGCUGUGUUUAUGGUGGGUGGGCACUUCAAUGAGAAAUCUCCAUGAAAACAGACAAAGCUCCACACUUACUCUCAUGUGCAUUGGGACCCAAAUUCAACACAAUGACAUUGCCACCAUGCUACAAUAGAAGUUUAAAAAGGAAAUGAUAUUAUUUGCUCAGUAAUUUCUGACCCAUUGCAUGAUUACACUACUGGACUCAUUCUGAAACACAUAUAUGGGAGUACCCUCGUAAUUAAAUGUCUAAAAAUACACCACUGCCAUUUCUGGGUUGGUUUCUGAAGAGUGGUUGCAUAAAACUUUAUUGAGAUACUUAAUGCACUGUGCUGUGCUCUCUUUGGGCUGAACUGUUACUGGGAAAAAUGAAUUCAGCCUUGCAAUGGUUGCAGUGCCUUCCAGCUCCAGCACACUGAGUUCUCUGCACAGUGUAUCAAAAAUUCCCAUAUCUGGCAGGCUUGAUGCUGACAGGGUGGGAAGUGGAAGCAGCUCCCUGUGACUGACCCUUCCCACAGUGCCUGGCUUCCUUGCAUCUCAAGGCUCAGCGCACCUGGUCUGCUGCCAGAUGUUUUCUGCUUUCCUAUGGGGGUAAGAUAGAAAAUCCCGUGUCAUCCUGAACAAGGUAUGGAGGGGGGGGAUGGAGAGGGAGCUCCUUCCACAAGAUGCUCCUGGGACUCAGUGCAACCCUUUGGCUUAGGUUCGCCCCCAAGGUACGGUCUGGCUCAGCACACUAGCUCCUGUCAAGAAGUCAAACAUUGCUCUGGAAAACAAAGUUGUCUUCAUGCGGACGAAGAUGCUAUUUAAUGCGAUGCUGUUUAACUGGGCACUGUGCAUGGAAACUGGAGCUCUGCUGUUAGCUCCAUUUCACAGGCAAGGAAUCUGUAUCUAAAUGAUACCUCAAAACUGUGGCAAAGCUGGGAAUAGAAUCCAAGUUUAAUUCCAUAGAUACUCAGCUUUCUGGGCUUUGAACAGAGCUGUCAUACUACAAGGAAGUACUUCAGCAUCCUUUUCAUUUGAAGAUGUUUCCAAACAUUUUUCCUUAUCUUUUGCCUCUCAAAAGUGUUGUUUCACAUUCAUGUUCCAUUUGCAUCAAGUUUCUUUCCUUUUCUCAGCUGCAGUCAUUAACAGCUGGUGAGUAAAUUAAUUAUGGGUAAAAAGUAUAGUUAAGUGAACAUUUCUGUUCUUUUGACUGGGGGAAAAUGCUCCAAGAAAAAUGCACUGAUGUUUUCAAACCAUAGUGGGGUUGUGUUUGGGGUGCUUUUUUCCUGUAUACCGAGCUGGCUGAUGAGCCUCAGCACUCUUGAUUUAGACCAAGGGUUAGACUCCUCAAAAGGCAGACUGAGACCCUUCUUAAUUUCUCCAUUACUUAGGAAGUACCCUUAGUUCAGGCAGCAGUCAGGGAAGGCUGUUGGGAGAACUACAUUGCAGGUGACACUUUGGAAUUGCAGUUCUUAGGCAUUUAUCAACCGCUAUAUUUUCAGCUUGAAGGUACCAAUGUUUUUCUGUGGUGUAGUAAAUUACUGAAUGUUUACAUGCAAUUAGGUGUGUGCCUAUGGAGAAGAAGACACCGGGAAACAGGAUUUUCCUGAGGUAGUUGCUAGUUCAGAGGCCCAGUGCCACUGCAGUAGCUGUUGUCAGGAAGGACUGAGUGGCAGUUCUAAUUACCAGUGUCUACACAGGUUUCUCAUAGGAAGAUACAAGCUGUCACGAUCCCUUGCCAAUCACAUGAGAACUGACCUAGGGAGAACAUCAACCGAAGACAGGAAAUGAGCAUUCCUGCAUGAGUAGGAAGUGCAGGCAACUUGAACUCACAAGAAAGACGUCAUAAAGUGUACUACUCUCUAUAAAAAGGGGAAGACUUGUGGAAAAGACACCAUUUUUGUGGUUGGCUCAGUGAAAGCUAGAAAGCAAAUCUCUUCACACUCCUGGAGAGAGAAGCCCCAGGUUGUGUCCAGACUUGAAAACUAAGAGUUAGAAAGUCCCAUAGCCUGUCUGAGCUUUACACUGGGAGGAAAAUGAGCUGCCUGAGCAGAGGAUGAAUGUUGUCUUGGGUCACCAUCAAGAUCUUGACCUGCCUAACUGAUGUGACUCAGGGAAAAAGGCUGCUGGCAUUUCUGGUGCUAUUCCCUUUUCCCAUUCUCAGCAUGCACGGAGCCAUUCCCAGCCAGUUGGAGCUCUUCCACAAGAUGGUGCUGAGCCCCAUCGCUCACAAGUGGUGCGUAAUUGAAACACAGCACACAUCCUCCCGGGGAAGGAAGAGGUCUGUUUAUUUGCCCUCCUGGAAAAAGAGAAUGUAUUUCAAGACGUCAAAAUAUUUUGUUUGCCUUCAUUCAAUUGCAAGAGAAGCCUUAGGUGAGGUAAGAAAAUGUGCAUUUAUCACAUUUUGAUGUGGUGUAUACAACUAUGUAUUUGUAUAUGUUUCAUACUCCCAAACUGAAGGAGUGCUGAGAGUGCCAGACAACAAGGUCUGGAAAAUUAGCAAAGGUCAGGAUUAAAAUUGACACCUUAUGAAUCGUUAUGGACUGCAGGAGCACGUGGGCUGCUCACUGGGGGUGUCAAGCCCUCAGUUUCACAGAAGCACUGCUUUUUGCCCAAGGCAUGGAGUAUCUGGCAACAGUGGGUGCCUGUUGGCUUCUUCCUAUCAGUCACUGUAGGUGGAUAUGAAGGGUUUUUCUGCAUGACUUCUAGAGGCACAGCUCAAGAGUUGUUGUCCAUAGGGGAACAAGGGCUCCAAGUUGCCAUUCCUCACAAUUGGUGCAUCCUGGUUUGGCUGAGGAUCCCACGAGGUCCUGGUGAACAGCCUGACCUGUGCUGCACACCUCCUGGCUCAUUCCAUGUGGGUAUGCAGAAGCUGCCUUCUCACACCCUGCUCCUGCUGGUCAUCAAGUGCAGGUGGAUGGGGAGUGUUGAGCUUUAGACAUGGGUUAGUGACAAGGAGUCUGUAAAUCAUUGGAUCAGCCAUACAUCCAAAUGGUUCUUCGAGUACAGUAACUCCACAGGAUCAGUUCCCUUCUAACAUGAUCUUUUAUGUUUUUAACUUGCAGGAACACAAAAGGUGACUACUGCAUGUUCUGAACAAAUAGGUAAAACCAAAGGGGAAAACAGCUGUUGUUUUUAUGGUUCUUUUUUUCUAUAAAAAGGGGUUUUCCAUGUCUGACGGUUACAUGUUGAACUCUCUUUAUUUGGCCCCUCCCAUUUUCAGGUCACCACAGGAAUAUGUAAAAAGGAAAUGUUUUAUUUUAACAGAGUUGAACAAAGUACACGAAACACACCCUUCCCAUUGCCUAACAUUCCUCAAGUUAAAUUGCAGAGCCCAGCAUAACUUUUCCUCUUGGUCUUUUAUUUCAUUGAAAAGGGCCCAAAAUGUAAUAUUCAUGCAGGAAGCAUAAAUUGUAUUGCUGGAAGCAAUAGCAACCUCGAAGCAAAAUCCCUCAGGAUCGCUGUGCUCAGGAGUGUGCAGGCUGCUCCUGGCCCAACAAGUUUCCUCAGUGCCGUGCUUGUGGCUUUGCACAGCCUAAGCUAUAGGAUUUCUUUGCAGCAUGGUUUUCUUGACAUUUUGGCCCUUGUGGACAGUCCUUGGCCUCAGGAGUAGCUGCUAGCCUCUUGCCCAACCAUCCCACUCUGGGCCACUCUUCUUCCCUUUCAGUAUGCAUGAGUAACUCCCACGAAUGUAAAUAAAAGUUAUGUGCACGCAUCAAGGGGAAAUGGAUCCAUUUGUCAUGGCUCCAGACAAGCAGCAUCUCCCCAAGGAGCUACUUACGAGGCUAUUGAGAAGCCAGCAGCAACGCGUGAUAGGCUGCACCUUCUUCCAUGUGUGUUGCAGAAAUUAUUGGCAUGUUGCUGAUGUUUACGGCGAACAAAUAGUUUAUUUCUGGGCUAAGAAAGAUUUCAAUGUAAAUACUCAACUGGCAGCUAGCUGGAAGUUUGCCACUUGAAGUUAAAAGGCCCAUGACCAAUGGUGUCAGAUUAACAUUUCCAAGUUGGACAAUGUACAAAUGGUGUUCUUGGACUGGAAUAGAAAUAGAUGAAAGUGGUCUGCUGCAGUGCAAAUAACAAACUGGCAACCAGCUGGUCAUUGGAAAGAGAACAUACUAUGGGAAUAUGCUUUCUGCAGAAAUACUUUAUUUUGGAGAUAAGCAUUAACAAUAGGAAGAUGAGGCUCAUUUAACAAGAACCAUAUGGUCUCAUCCUGCUUUUAUUUCACUCAGUAGCAAAGCUCUGAUGAUCUUUUGUGUGUGCAAGAUAGGGGUUGCUGUUAAUAAAUAAGCAAAACAGAUUCAAGCUAGUCGUUUGGAAUUAAAAAGAAACAGUAAUGCUUGAUCUACUGUUGCCUUUUAAAAGGUAUGAAGGGGAUAGUUUUAAUCCACAAAAUGCUAUUUCAGGAGACCGUAACUGAAAGGAAGUGGAAUUAAAGGUGUUUGUUGGAAAACAACUUCUGAUAAAGUAAGACUAAGAUCCACUCAAGACUGAGUUAUGAACCAGUGUGAAACCAAUACAGAAAUUUCUCCAAGCUAAUUUGUGGCUGGGUUCAUUCCAUAAAAAAGUUUGUAUUUUUCAGGAGAGACGACAACACCCCUUUUUAAAGCAGUUUUAACUACACCAUUUAUUCUACUAGCAACUUAAUCAGAGGUAACAGCAUUUCACACUCUUGUUUCAGCGUAAUAGCAAAAGUGAAUGAUGCAAAAAGAAAAAGUCAUCUGUGGGAACUGCACUGGAAAAUCCUGCUUUGGGAACUUUUCAAGGAUGUAAAACAUUGUCUAGAGUUUUUUACUUUUAUGGGUAGGAAGUAAAAAAGAAGCAAAGAGAGGAAAUCUCAUUCUUACAACAAUUGGAAAGUUGCAGUAAAAAUGAUAAAACUCAUCACUGCAAAAUAAUUUUUAUUUCAUUUUAUUUUAUUUUUUACAGUGGCUAAACUUUGUUAUUUUGGUUGCAAGAAGACAGCAAGAUGGAAGCUUCAUUUAUUGUAAAAAAUAAAAUUAAGAUUUGAACAUGGAAAAAAUGUGCAGAUCUUGUACUCGGCAGCUCACUUCUGCCUUUGGAGACAAGUACUAAUCCCAUUGAUUUUCAUAUGCUUGAAGACAGCUCAGCAAUAUCAAAAUUGCAUUAUAUUACAUAUUUAGAUAGGUAGCAGAAAUGCUGAGUCAUGGCCUGAAGCAGUGAUUGAGCACCUGGUGGGAAGGCAGGGCCAACCCAGGGAAGCUCAGGUGUAUGCAAUGUACCUGAAUGACCAGAAGGUUUGGAGCCAGAAUUCACCCCUUCCCAGACCUCAUUUAAGGGUUGGCAGUGGAGGUAAGGGGGUUUUGUUGGUGAUCCCUGUAUACUUGAGGUCUUCUGAAGCUUUCUUUUUCUGAUACUAAAUUAAUCAGACAGACUCAACCUAGAUUCAGUGGAUGCUGUGAAUGUACAUUUCUGGUAAGGAAAGAAUUGCUCCUGAGAAUAUUCCACCUAUUUCAGUCAGGUACAUCCUUCCUAGGACCGUGUAAUGGGCUGAUCUUUGCUCCUAUAGAACAUGUUCUUACUGCUUUGACAUCUUUUUUUUUGUCUUCAAAGUAGAUGCUUUCUGACAUGUAUCUCUUAUGUAGUAAAGCAUCAGUGUUGAUUGGAGCUUAGAAGUAGUGCUCUGAUUUACAAAGAGCAAUAUCCAUGAGUAUUAAUUAAAUGGAUGUUCACUGCCAGCAAAGGGACACUAAUUCCCAUGGACUGCUCUUGCAGAUUUGGAGUCUCCAGUAUCUUCUGAGGCCACGUCACAACCACCUACAUGACAGGAGACCACCAGGGCCUUGCCUUGCUUCACUUUCUCCAUGGGAUGGGAACACCUUUCCAGAUUAUUCCAAUGGGCCAAUGGCUUUAAAGGCUUCUAUAGGCACAGCUAGCCCCUAUAGCCCUAAGAAACCCAGAUAAAAGUAACAUUGCCAUCCAGAAUAACUUAUUUUCCAGCUGGUUUUCCCCUCCCAGCUGCUUGCCCAGAUGGCAGGCUAAAUUCAGCACCUUCUUGCUGCUCCAAAAGCAAAGGGCAUUACUGAACCACCCCAUUUUUAUGCUGUGAUCAGUGCAUCUAGGAUGGAGGACGUGCCACGUGGACACAUUUUAAAUUGCAAUUGUGAAAUGCAGUAGUACAUAUAUAUUUAUUUGUCUGUUUAUUUUUUUUAAGUGAAAGAGCAAUGACCCCAUUUAGCUCAAGAAUGAUGCAUUCUUGGAAAGUGAAAUAUAUUUGGUAGUAAUGACGGUAGGGGAAAAUAUCUCUUUCAUAAGAAAACCUGAUAUGUAAACACACAGUGCAGCUUAGGGCACGUCUUCGUUUCACACAUGAGAAGUUCACGCAAGUGAAGAAAAUUUUGAGUUUUUUUUUCCUACCCCCAAAGAAACAUAAUCCAGAGUUUAUAUCAGAUGGUUUAUGGGAGUUUAUUGGAAUAUCCAACAGGGUUCAUGUAGUGUGUCAUAAGGUAAAGCCUGUUCGUUGGUGAUUUACAAGCAGUGUGUGCCGGUGUUACUGUAAUUUAUAGACCACAGAUGGUCAGGGGGUGCCCCUGCUGACUUGGAGCUGAAUAAGAAGCUGAGCCCUGUGUGUCAUCUGCUGCGGGUACCUCCGGCUCACUUCCCCAAAUUAGCCCUGGUGGGGAUCUGCAUCCCGACUUGGAGGGUCCCAAGCCCUCUGCGAUGCAAGCUGAGGUUGCUCUGGGAAGAGAGGGACAGCAAAUGUUUAAAGGAGAGGGGAACAGAGCAAAAAACUGAGAACAUUUGAACAGCACUGGAGGAAAAGUGCUUUUUACGAUAACAGCCUCCCUUCUCAAGGUUGGUACUUCUUGAUGGGCUUUUGUCACUUGUUAAAUGGAGAAGGGGGGAAACGUCAACCCCCCCUCCCUUCCUAAUUUGUUCUAACACAAACAUCUCCUCCACCAAAAUUUAUAUAUAUUCAUAAAUCUCCCUUGUAACAGCCUCUAAGAUAGAUCCUAUCUUUGUUCCCGUCACUUUACCCUUUUAGGUAAUUGCUUGUUAAUGGCAUCCUGCAUUUUCAUAAGACUUACUCACACCAAGUUUACCCAAGCCUUUGCUUCUUUAAACCUCAUUAAAUAAUUGCCUCGUUACCACGGCACCUCGUACUGCUCACAUGGGGACCCACUGCUCGCAGAGGAUCAUGUUUUGUCAAAGCAGCUCUGAGCUGGGAGGAAAGUUUGGGGUUCUUUCUGUGCUUGACACCUGUUGCCAAAUGCAGUGAGAAAUGCCUCCAUGUAAACACACAUCCGAGCUCACAACCAAGUGGGUGAAUUCUUUCUUCUCUCCCAGAGAUCAAAGGUGUAGGAGAAUUUUGUGGCUUCUCUAGUUAAUAAACAGGAAAAAAAAAGAACGUUUUCUUUUCUUUAUCCAGAGGAUUAAAAAAAAACACCCUAUAGACAAAAGGACCAGAAGGAGAGCUGUAAUGGAAAUAAAAUUGACAGCCUCUCAAAACUCAGGUGGCAUUUUCCUUUUCCAGUUAAUUACAGUUUUAAUUACACGGCUUCUUGUGACUCCUUGAUACCUAAUAAACUAGACUCUGUGGGGCGGCAAAGUUGAGUUUUGCUUGAACUGCAGGUGUAAGGCUCAGCAUGAAGCAUAAAUCAACUUCUUAAACAUGUUCCCAGGGUGUGUUCAGGCUUUUUCUUCCUAUUUGCUUGUAAAAAAUCACAUCUUUUCACCAUCGCUGGUUAAAAAAAAAUGUGAUUGGAGCCACAGUACCUCAAGUAUUAGCUUUGUGUCUUGGGUUGAAGAAAUCCCCUUCCAGUAGGGGAAAAAAAAAAGGAUUGAGUUUUUUGGACUUCAGCCUGAUGGCUUUUAAAGGAGUGGUACAUUACCUGCCUUGCUUCUUUCAUUAUCCUUUCUUUCAUAUUUAAGAUAGAAAGGGGAAAUAUGCAAAGAAUAUGAAAGCAAGGGGAGAUUGGGCUGUGGAAAAUAAGGGCUGUUCAUCCCACAGACACCACAGUUUGGAUUUGCCCUUUGUGUGCUGCCCUGUGGGUUGCUGCAGCCAAAAGGUGCGGAUAGUCAUGGUCCUCACACUCCACGAGACUCAGCUGUGGUGAUGCUGAAAGCAGAGGUACUGGAGACAUGGCGCUGUAAUGUCACCUGCCCCGUGCUGGUGUCACUGCCCCAUGGAUUUCUCUGCCAGCCCCAGUCUUUGGGAUCCUGGAGCCACAGAGCACUGAGGCUUUGCAGCCCAAAACAUGAAGCCAUAGCAGGCACGUCCCGGCCAGGCAGCCCAGCAGCCUAAAUACCAGCCUCAGCUCUCAGAACUAAAUGGGGAUGCCAAAAAGGCCAAAACCCUGCCACCAAUCCAGAGGGGAAAAAGAAGAAAUCUUCCGCCCUGCCAACCAAAUGUCUCACCAUCUUUUUCAAUUAGUCUUGGUUGUAUUUUUGUAAGCACACAGACAGGCAAUUACAGAGUUUCAUUUUUUCCAGAGUGGGAAAGGCAGGGCAGAGCUAAGGGAGUAAGGGAAAGGAGGAGGAGCAGGAGUUUAAAAGACACGAAAGCCCCAGACAUGAGUGUCUUUCAUUCUAGCAGUCCAUGAGGCAUGGAGAGCAAGAACAAAGAAAAGAAAAAAUUAAAUAUCUAAAAUAUUUUGGUUCACAACAAUGAAAUGAAGCAAAACUUCCCAGCUGAAUUGGAGUACGCGUUCUGUGUGCUCUGUAGUGUUUUCUGUGAAAGCUUACUGGCCAGCAGACUAAAACCGGUGUGGGUACCAGGGUGAGGGCUCUGGUUUCUCCAUGAGUUGAGCUGCCUACCCCUAGCACCAAAAUCUUGUGCUGCUCAGGCACUGGCAACGUGGCCUGAAGAUUUGCAAUGCAGCUACAGCAUGGAAAGUGCUGGAAAGCUGCAUUUAGUAAUGGUAGAACAGAGUGCACGAGGGAGCAUUCACCACAGAGUGAUCCUAUUGGGAAGGCUGCCUGGAAGAGGUUUGCCUUCCAAACUGAUCACCAGUGCUGAGAACCCCGUGUACAUCUGCACAGGUACGUGCAGUGCACAGCGUGGAGAAGCAACAGUAGUGUGCAACAGAGGCUCAGGAGAUCCAAAAGGCAUCAAAUAAAAUGGCUGAGGGAAAAAUAUAUGCUGUCCCAGAGUUUGGGGAAGACUCAGUGGUUCGUGAACCACCUCAGGGACAUGUGACAGCAAUGGCAAAGGCUCUGAAAGAUGGACAUGUGCCCAGCCAAGGAGCACAAUGGGAAGAUCUGUUGCCUUUGGGGCUCUAUUACUUCCUGGUUCAGCUAGCCCAUCUAAUCAGCUUGGCUUGUUUUUAAGCUGGACUCUCUCAAACUCAGCCCAAGCUCACCUGAGCAAUCCUAGUUUUCUAACUUUUAGGGGGAAUGUGAGUUUUGAUUUACUGGAUCGCUAUGGCAAGCGCAAUGUAAUAAAAACCUGACCUGUCUGAUAUGUAUGGGCUACUGUAUUAUAAAUAUUUAAUAAGUUGUAUGGAAAGAAAAGAACUAUAGGGGUUACAGGAAUCAUAUUAAAGCAACUAAGUAAAUACAAAGAAGGUUAAAGUGUCUAACUCUAUAUGCUUUAAAGGCUAAAGCAAACCAGAUCUCUUUCUAGAUUCUUUUUCCAUGUACAGCGGUAACUGGGCAGCAUAAAAAUAAGGCAAGUAUUUAAAGACAAAAAAAAAAAAAAGAGAAAGAUCUAAGGCAUUUGUUUGGCAUUGAUAGCAAUUUCAAAAAAGCCCUGGAACAUUUAAAGAGAAUUAGAAAGGAUUUGGCUGGAAUCAGAGGGGGAAGCACUUUCCAUGGCUGGGUGCGUGUUUGGGUAUCUACAAACUGCCUACAUCUGAACGAGCAGAACGGCCUUGAUCAUCCAGGGUUUUAAAACCAGAAGAAAAAGGCUUUCCUGUUUUUGCUCUUUUUUUCUUAUUCACACAUAUCCAGAUUUUCAUUCUUCUGCCUGCUUGAUGGUGAAGUAACAUUUAUUUUGGCACGGAGCUUGUGGAGUACUUGGAAGGGCCCACUGGGGCAAGCAGAUACGGUGCACCCGCUGGGGCGAGCAAACCUGCUCUACCUUGGGAAUCACUCCAGGGGGAUUUUUGUUUGGUUGCUUUCUUUUCCAUGCUAUGUUGUUUCCAUGUUGUUUGCAGAAAGGCAAAAACAAGCAGGCAUUGCAUGUGUUCCUUUCUUCCUGCUGUCUCUUUGGGGAAGAAGCCGACAGGAGCUUUUCCUUGCCAUUUGAUGGGAGCAUGAAGAAAUCUUGAGCUGGUUUUAGGUCAGGGAGUGUAUUUCCUUACAGGUUCCUCUAGUGAUGGUUAUGGUUGUGGGACCCCCGAGCCUAUCUCUGAAUCAUAACACGAAUUCCUGCUGUGACCCAUGGAAAAGGCAAUGAUCCUGCAGGGGCUCUUUUACUGAGAGGAGCUUUCUGCACACCCCUAUGCUGGCCAACUGCAACCAGUGCAAAGAGGGCUGGAUUCGCCUAUCCAAACGCACACCUUUUUCACUGAUGACCUUUUUUUUUUUCCUUCUUGCAGUAUUUUCUCUGCUGCAGCUAUCAUCCUAAAUAACAUCAGCCCACCAGUGACAGAGGCUUUACAGUGCAAUGGAGAACUAUUUUGAAGGUACAAAUCACUUGACCUAAAGAAUCUCCCUGGAGUGUCAGUGCUAUGCACUACAUUUUUGCUCUGCUGAAGCCUUUAUUUAGCACAUGCUAAAGAACAUUUAACAUUUAAAGAUCCCCUCUGCACAUCCUCCAAAUGUCUCCAUCCUUUGCUCCUAGAUUAAUAUGUCUUCUGUGAAAAUGAGAUAAUUGAUUGCAGAGCCAUAUUAUUUACAAAUGAAGUGUUGUUCUUGUAUUGACCUUUCGUUUCUAUAGCUCAAUACUAGUUCUUGUACAGCAUUUGUAAUUAGUGAGAUAGUAACAGAAUUAGAAGAAACACAGGGAAAAAAAGGAGCUCCUGUGGAUGCUUUUAAUGAAAGGAAACUUCAGGAUAAGUUGCCCUUUUAAAGCUGCAAAACUUCACAUAACCAGCACUAAUGAAGUCUGUGGCUUGAAUAAGCACAGAACAGCAAAGCUCCCCAGACCAAUGCAGAUGGAGCAGGGGUGCUGCCAGCAGACAUACUCACUCAUGAGAGUCACUCCCAGGCUUGAAAAAAGGUGAGAUUUGGGGAAUAAACUGAAACUUACCCUUCUGUGGGUCUGCUGUAGUUCCCAUGUAAAUGCCAUGGUCUGUUCUUGGUGGCAAAGAUGUUAGUUAUUAGCCUUAUGGCUACAAAGGAACUACUGCGAUUGCAGAAGUGGUUUUCCUAUAUGUAUCUAUUAAAGCAACACGAAUGUCAGUGAAAGUCUGAAGAAAAAUACUACGCUUGAACAUGGUCACAAAGGAAAAAAAAUAGGAGUAAAUAUUAGAAGGAAGGCUGUAGGGGUCCUUUCAGCAUCCUAUGGAUGCAGACAGACAGGACACAUCACUCUUCAGAGGGUCUCUUUCAGGGAUGACUCUUGUCCCAGUGACAUGGCCUCACAUGAAAUGCCCACUGAACCUACAAAGAGGAAAAUAAUAAUAAUAACCUUCAGUGCUCUUUAGGGAAUUCAAAUGUGCUGCUUUGCUGGCAGCAUUGUUUGCUGCACCUACUGCAACCACAUUAUCUCCAUUUGCCAUUUUCUUGCCAGAGGGGCAGUCCCAUUCCCCUCUAUGCAUCCUCUGGCCCUACAGAAAUGCCAGCAGUGAUGCUCCACUCCUACUGAGCACUCAUUCCUAUUAAAUGACACUGCAAGGAACAAAAUUUCAGUACAGCUGAAGGAGGUGGCAGCAAGCUCCAUGCUCCCAAUGCCCUCAUCUCACAGCAUGGAAAAGCCCCUACAUGCCCCUGGCCAGCCCAGAGGACCAGGUUGUAUCCUUCUGCACACAUUCAGUCCAACCAGGACCAGGAUCCAGGGGAGAGCUGCCCCUGUACAACGUCCCCAUACACGUUUCCCAGUGUCCUAGGGUGCACGGACCCUCAGCAGUGGGGCUGGUGGGAGCACACCGACUACCUGGGAUCUUAUAAAUCUUUCAGCUAUCAGUCUUUCAGAGCUCCAAAUGCAAAAUCCAGCAGCCCGGGAUAUCAUGUGGAUUUAUGACCUGGGAUUUAUGAACUGGUCUGGAUAAAAUAAGAACUGACUUGGCUUUUUUUUUUUUUUUAAGGUUUGAAGAGAAGAAGUAAUAAAAAAUAAAGUCAUGAUUUUUUUCCCCCCUUUCAAAGCCUGUUUACAGAAACUUGUGUGCAUGUGGAUGUAUAUAUUCAAAUAUUUUGACUGUUCUUACCUGCAUGUUUCCUGCUUCUGGCUGAGGCCGAUCUCCCAGGGCUGCCUGCUUGGUGGGGCAGCAGGAAUCGGCACAAAUUGCCCCAAAAUCACGGUCUUGAGCCAUUCCCUGCCUGCUUCUGAGCUGGGAGAUGUGCUGGUAUGUGCUCUGUGAUUUCUGAACGCUUGCAAGCAGUGGGAUGGCUCCCUAAAGUGACACUGCUGCUGCUCUCACCCUGACACUUCCUUUCAUCCUUUUUUUCCUGAGAUAAUUUUGCAGUCCUUGUUCUUUUUCAUUGGUGGCAAGCUGUGUAUUUUGGGGUGGAAUCUAGAGUUGUGCGCAUGGUUUUGCUUACACGUAUGUGUAUCUGUGCAUCUUAAUAUGUGCACUUAUUCAUCCAUCAAUAAGCAUUGUUGGAUAUAUAAGCAUAUGCGUAUGUGCACAAUAUGCAUGUAAUUAUGUGUAUGUACAUUCACAUCUAUGUAUCUAUAGCUGCAUGCCUGUAUAACAGUGCACACAGACGUUUAUGAGCAUUAUGAAUGGUUGGUGUAUUAAGCCUUUGAUUAGAAACCAAUACAAACUAUCACUUUUUAUUACUACUCCCCAACUGUAUGUACUUUGCAUGAGCUUUUACAAGCCCAUCUCGAAGGACUUUCUCUCCUUAUCUGUAUUUCAUGGCCUUCAUUUCGAUUUGUCUUAUCUUAAAAACAACAACAAAAAAGCAAAUAUGGUAUUUACCUCGGUCAAGAGGAAAACUGCCAGACAGAUUUUUAUUGUCUCCUGCUCGACCCUUUUGCGCCUCUGCCCACAAUUUCUGGGUGAUUAUUUUUCAGCAGUUCUCAAGCUCACUCUCCAUGUUACAGCUAAGGGUUACUUCUUGGGGGAAAAAAAAAAGAAAAUAAAGGAAAAAAAGAAUACAUUUAUAUGUAUGGAUAUAUUUAGCCCAGGUUUUCAGUCUACCACCUUCUCUGGGUGCAGAGUUGUCCACAGAUCAUCACAGCCACACUGUGCACGCACCUUCACCCAGCAUCACAGAAACUUUUGUGUGUACCCAUCAACUCAUCUAGAAGCCAUAGGAUGCUGUUUGCCCUCUGCAUAUAACCUCUUCAUGCUGUUGGUUGUUCCCUAAGGCUCCUGCCAGCCCCUUCAGAAGGAAAGGGGUGGGGAGAAAUGGCCAAGGAGAGCUCCUGGUGCUGCCCCUGCUGCACGGAGGAUGUGACACAACCACGAAGUCACUGAGAUGAUGGUCCGGAGCAGCUGCAUUUUGCUCUGCACAAGAAAAUCCACCUUCAUACCAUCUCUGAUAUCUGGGUGAGCUCAGGUGAAGCCACUUGUCCGAGCCAAAGAGCUCAAGCCAAGCAAUCAAGUAGCCAAACAACAGAAUAACCAUAGGCACUGGAGCAUAGCCUGGAAUUGCAACGGUCUCAGCUGAGAACAUGUCAUCAGGAUGGAAGGAGCCAGGAAGGGCUUGGCGGCCAACAUAGGCUCUUCGGAGCAGAGCAAAGCAGGGUUUCAGUGGCCCAUUGUUGGUGGCAGUCUGGCUUGCUUUGCUGGAGCAGCCACUGUGGGGUGAAGCAAGAAGUUGCACUUUGUUUUUAAUUAGCAGACAUUUAAAGUGUUUUUCAGCAUGACUCAUGUCCCAGGAAUAAUUGAAUUCGGAGAUUUUGUUUUCGAUGCAAUCAAAGAGUCCACACCACAUCAGAGAAGUAGAUAGAACCGUUGCUUAAACUAUCUGUAUGUUAUUUGCCAGGUACGUGCAGGCAGGGCAGCCACCUCCCCCGGUACUCAACUCCAGGUCUGAGCUCCUCUCCCCAUAAGAGGGCGAGGGAGGGGAUCCGUGCAAGGCACCGUGCUUGGAGCCCUCUCAGUUCAAAGGUGCCCAAGGAGAUGGAGCUGGCCUAGGGAUGGCUGGAGGCCACACAGACGGGAAGUCACCACAGGUGAAAUCCCUCCCAGCAGCUGGCUUAUGAAAUAAUGCGAGGGGAGGCCGUAAUGAGCUGAAAGCACCCUCAGCUGGAGAUAAAUAUAUGCAAAUGAGAUGCACAAACAAAGGAGCCUGGACAGAGAAAUAUCUGCAAUUCCAGCAAAAUGCUGCCUGCAGCUAGAAGAUGAACAGCUUUGAUAAAAUGCUCCCCACAUGUGUCCGUACGGAUGACUACAGAAAGCAAGCCCCGUCCCUUGCCAUUAGCUGAAACACGGAGAGAAAGGCAGAGCAAGGCAGCACAGCGAUGCCGCGCAGCCCCUACCCUCACGGCAACAUUACAUAGGUUGUUACACAUUUAUAAAGGGAGCACAAACACCGUAAAGUUUGGGCAGCCCUUUCCUUGGGGCACAAAGCGCAAUUUUUAGAAGAAAAAUAGGCUUACCUUUUAGGGGAAAAAAUAUAUAUAUACACGUAAAAAAUCCACCUCUUACUACGCUGUACGGCUUUGGUACUUAGAGAUGUUAGAGCAGACAAGUGUCGGAUUUCCCGAUGUCAAGCAGAUCUCCUAAUUUUUCAUAUCCUCCUCCUGUGGCGAUUUUGGGGCCAGAUUGGAGAGGAAGAGGUUCGGAGCGCUGCCCUGACCCCUGGGAGCCGGCUGCCGCACCCGGACACCCCGGCGCGGGGCUUCAGGAGUUAAUGGAAGUUGGUGGGGCCAGGAGCCGCGCUUUUUGCAGCCCAGGUUUGCAGCGGCAUAAUUAUGUUCAACCGCUGUUGUUUGAAAAGGGCAAGCGGCAUCUUAGGCACAGAACAAUGAAAUUACAGCUGAGAUUUAGGUUAGCAAAAGCCGUCUUCUGCAAGGCUUUUAUGAUUCAUUAUUUCCCAUUAAAUACAGUAUUAGAAGUGUACACCAGAUAGCUCAUGGUUGCUGCGCUCAGAGCACAUUAUCUAUAUUACACAGGUCUGGGGAGCAGAAUUAGAAAACUUUGGGGGAAUGAGCAAUAUGUGUUUGCUGAUAGAAGUACCAUAUGGCUCAUCUUCCUCAAUUGCUUUCAUUGCGACUCCGAUGCUGGAGAAAUUAAAGUUUUAUUUGAUGUGGCACAGCUUAAUGAACUGUCUUCUGUUAGGAAAAUUGAAUAUGUUUCCUGUUAUUUGAGCACAGAGCCCUCAUGGUUUUGGCUGAUGAGGGAUGCAUUAUGUAUUGUUUAUUUAGCAUUUUGAAAAAAAAAAAAAGCAGAUAUUGGAGGUAAAAUUGAUUACCGCAGGAUGCGUUAUAUCAUCCCAUUUUUCUUUCUCUCUUUCUUUAAUUUAUAGCCCUGCCUAUUAUUUUUACGACGGCCUUUUUCGGUUCCCCCACCACCACUAUCACCCCACCCCACCCUCCAAAAAAAGGGGUUUGGAGGCAGAGUGCAUCUCUCAGCUUUGUUUAAAAGCGGCAUUGCAAUUUUUAGGUCUGCGGUCCCUACGUGCUCCCUGUGCAUUGACCCAGCCGGGCUUUGUUAAAGACAGCCGCGGUGCUGCUCUUCUGCCUUCGCAGGGACAUAGAGAGGGGAGCAGCCCCCAGUCCCCCACUUCCAGAGAUGGCAGGAAGGGUUAAUAACUGCAGGACAGAGGUGGCCGAAGGGAAGGGGUGGGUGUAGGGGAGCACGGGGUGGAGCGGGCAACAUGACCUGCUGCUUUUGCAUUGUUUGUCUGCAGCAGGAGAGAAGUUGGUGAUGGAAAGGUGGCUUGGAUAAAAGGAAAUACAUAUUCUGUGGUGAUUAAUUUUUUUAUAAUGCAGGCACGCACUAAGGUGUGCAUGCUCUAGCAAUACCGUGGGGGUACUUGUUCUCUCAUAGCAGCCCUGCAGCAGGAAGAGUCGUGUUUGCUCUUCAGGUUUGUGAGAAGACAAAUGUAUUGAAAUAUACUCCGAAACUUCAAGGG